AUCAUAACUGUUAUCAUACUCCACUUUAUAGAUACAUGUGUGGAGUUUACGAAAAAGAAAAACAUCUAAAUGAAUACAUCAUUUUGUCCUUGCAGAGCCCUGUUUGUCCAUUCAGGAGGGGGUUCCCAUCAGCUUUGUGCUAUCAGUGAGCCACUAAUUGAUUUUCAAGGAUGACAAACGAUGCUGCGGGCAGCGGUGCGGAGGAUUCUCCAAAUUGGCCCUAUCGAAUGUGACAGGAGGAAGAGCAUUAAGCAUCUGACAAGAUGAUAUCUAAGUUCAAUUUCCUCCCCCUGCGCUGAUAUAUACCUGCAGCACAUCAUUUUCCUUUCUGUCAUAAAGAGCGCAAUAAAUCAGCGGUGCUUAUGGAGGCACGGCGGAAAACAGGGCCUCUGGAUUUGUGUCCCCAGCUCUGGCUAUUAGGAAGCCAUUACUGCCACGUUCUGCUCCUUCAAACAAAAAUGAUCAAACCUAAUGCCGUUGAGAUUAGGGAGAUUAAGAGAGAGAGAGAGGAAAGGAGAGAGCAAGCAGGGCUGUUAUAACACGAGCAUCCUCGCUAAACAAUCUGUGCUAAACUUGAGAGAGAGAAAAAACAACACAGCUUUCCCCUCCUCCUCUCGUUGACACCAUUAUCCAUCUGUUUGGCUGAAAUUGCUGUAUCAUGGUAUAAAUCUGAGAUACAAGUGUCACAUCCUCUAAAAUAAAAGGGAACAUUAACUGCUCUAUCUUCCUGAGGCCCUGGGAGCUGCUGGCUAUAAGCUCACUCAAGUGUGGUGGCAGUUAUACUGUGUUUUACUAGACUGCAGACAAUUAUCCUUUGCUCCUCUCCCUUCUCAAGACAAACUGCCGGAGCUUCAGCCGAAAUGAUUUCAAAUAGAUUUUCCAAAAUGUCUGUUGCUUGAUUGCUUCCAUACAUUAUUUCUCUUAAAUGGAUAGAGAGUGCAGGAAAGAAAGAAUAUCCACAAAUCAAUCACAAUAACACUUACCUCAUAGAAAUAAAGAAAGUAUCAAAUCA